GACGUAGGAUGCGAGCGUUGUCCGGAUUUAUUGGGCGUAAAGAGCGUGUAGGCGGUCUGGUAGGUCCGCUGUGAAAACUCGAGGCUCAACCUCGAGACGCCGGUGGAAACCAUCAGACUAGAGUCCGGAAGAGGAGAGCGGAAUUCCUGGUGUAGCGGUGAAAUGCGCAGAUAUCAGGAAGAACACCCGUGGCUAAGGCGGCUCUCUAGUACGGUACUGACGCUGAGACGCGAAAGCGUGGGGAGCGAACAGG
rnacentral:rRNA from 1 species